rnacentral:sRNA from 1 species
UGGAAAUGCUAGAAAAUGAAGUCCUGUUUAUCUACAGAGCAGAUGCAAGAGUGUAGGUUCCCUCUCACUGAGGUACCUCAACCCUGACCUGAAGGGACUAUCACUAGGGAUGAAGUUAGUUCAGUUUCCAUGACAAUUGAAUCUUUGCCUCU